AGCUGGGACAGACGUCUAAAUAGGACGAGAGCAGGGGCAGAAAGGGAGAGGCAGCCUCUACCUGAUCUGAUCAGGGAAGGCUUCCUGGAGGAGGAGAAUAUAAUUCUUACCCGCUAACGUCCACAGGGAACUCACAGAGCAGAGUGGGGUUGUUCCCUUAACAUCCAGCAGUUCCCAGAUGUGGCAAAAAUUAAUAUUGUAUACGUAAGGUUUUGGAGGUGGCCUCAGAAGUGUAAACGCCUCGCAGAGGAAUGAUGCGGAACAGGGCUGGCCAAAUCAACAUGGAACCACAGAUUACAAACACCGGUUCUGCGAAGCAGCCAGAAUCAGAGAUGCGCAGGAUGAGCGGGAGCUGUUUAGGACUCCUCUGCCGUUUUCCAUCCAACCAUCUCUGAGCCCUCCCCUGAUUUCUCUUCCCAAGGGCUGGCGCAUCCAUCUUCCCCCUGCUAUGGCAGCUGGCAAGCAAGAGUCGUCCUUCCCAGACAGAGCAGCUGAGGCCCAGAGAGGUUCAUCGCAGUGGCCAAGGUCACACAGGAGCAGAGAAGUAAUGGGCUUUGAACCUAACGUCUCAGCCCACCGCUCCAAGUACCUAUUCCUCCGUUAAUGCCCUCCCUCUUGUGAGUCUAUAAUUCAAAACAGUCACUUGGAAGCAACGCCAAGAGGGGGUUGUGAGGAAAAGCAGGAGGAAGAAUCUGAUAACUCUACCAAAUCAUUGUCCUUGAUAUAUUCUCUGCCUAUUAAAUCAGUUACUCCAAAGGUCCAGCAUCUUUUGUUACUAAUGUCUGGCCAUGCUGAAAUGUUUUAAAUGUUCAUCUAAUGCUUACAUAAAUUUUGAGCUUGAAAUCUCCAAUCUUUGGAAAUCUUUUCUAAUCCUAGGUAAAGGAAUGGCUAAAAUAACCUCAUUCCUGGAUACAUUUCACCUGUCAAUCUAGAUAUCUGAAGAGAGCUAUUUAAAAAAAAAAAAAAAAAAAAAAAAACAGGGUUUGCUUCCAGCCUUAGCAUUGCAACACUAUUUGCCAAGGUGAUUACAUCCAAGGAAAUACCAUUAAGUUUUCCUUUCCAGGCCAAUAGACAUCCAGGGUUUAAAACCCUGACUUCAUCAAUGAGAGUCUCAGAGUCUAAACC
rnacentral:lncRNA from 1 species